rnacentral:RNase_P_RNA from 1 species
GGAGUGGGCUGGAUGGCCGCGCGGGCCUGUCCCGUGAGGAAAGUCCGGACUCCACAGGGCAGGAUGCCAGCUAACGGCUGGGCGGCGCGAGCCGACGGAAAGUGCCACAGAAAAGAAAACUCCCGGCCCUGGAGCAACACCUGCACUUGGCGAGCAGCCGGCCGCGCCAGCCGCAAGGCUGGCCACGGCCAUAGGCAAAGAACCGAUGGCCACAGGCCAAAGACCGAGUGUGUGUGUUGCUCCAGGGCCGAGAAAAGCUGAAACGGUGCGGUAAGAGCGCACCAGCGUGUUGGCAACAACACGGCUUGGCAAACCCCAUCCGGAGCAAAGGCGAAUAGGAGUGCCAUGCGCUGGCCCGGCGCGCACUCGGGUUGCCUGCUAGAGGCUGUUGGCGACAGCAGUCCCAGAUAAAUGGUCAUCCCCGACAGAAUCCGGCUUACAGGCCCACUCCACCC